UCAGUCCAGUUCUUAUUGAAGAGAUACUUCUUUCUCUCAGGAAAUGAUGUGGUCAUGUAAUCGAUUACCAUGCCACAUGUAUCAGCUUAAGUGCUUGUAAAUAAGUCAAAUUAUUUAAAGUAUAAUAAUCUGCAGUAAAGGACUUCAGUUUGUUUUUUUCCAAAUUCAUCAUGAAAAGUUGCUGAUCACACAUUUUCAGCAAUAUGCGUACUUUAAGAUUAUAUAAAAUUACUUUUCAUGGACUAUAUUUAAUCUUCUGGAGAUAAACUGAAAAGAUGACUGUUUCAGUUGGCAGGACUGGUUGAUCAUUCAUCUCUCCUCAACAUUUGGAAAAAGAAAAGAAAGAAGACAAGACUCCUAAAGUAAAGUCUCUCUGUGAGAUGUCUUCAGUUUUCUCCUUCCAAGAAAUGGUGCAUUUCCAAAUUUAGCCAACUGGGGACCAGCAGAAAUAAAAUGGGAUUUAGAGUCAGAAGACCCAGGCACUGAACUUCUCUUUCUGAAAGUCACCUCUGUACCAAGUGUUGUGCUACGACUUGAGAAUACAGAGAAGUUUUCAUUGAACGGUAAGGAAUUUAUCUAUGUAUAUUGCUUCAUUAUAUCCUCAGGCAUAUUGAGGACUGCAAGACAUUAAAUGCAU
rnacentral:lncRNA from 1 species